AAAUAAUCCACUUAUGAAAUGUUUCCUUUUUACUUCCAAUUCUCAGGUGUCCUAUAUUAGUCAAGACUGUGAAGAAAUUCCAGAAUUCCUAGGAAGAAAAUAUGGACAUAUGGCAAAAAGGCUAGAUCUUAGCUUCAACUUGUUAAGUAUUUCCUCGUCACUGCUGUUGUGAAACAAGAGUGAAGGACUGCAGAAAUAACUGUUGUCUGAGGACAAGGAGCUUGACUGGAGGGAAGAACCUGCAUUAACCCUGGACCUAUUGUCUAUUUCUUUUCCUCUCUGUUUUGCUGAAAGGUGUCUUCUCUCCCUAAUGCAGUACACAAGAUUCCCAGCAUCUGGUUGCAGAUGUAAAGAACUUCACUAGCUUUGCUUACCAAUCACUGAGUAGGAAGAGUCUCUGUCCUCCAGUAUUCAACAAACCUGCUGAGUGGUUAUGGUACAAAUAACUAGCUGGCAUUUUGCAGGUAAAAUCCUUACAAAGC
rnacentral:lncRNA from 1 species